UAUCCAAACUGUAUCAGCUGCGUUCCAGCCACCUGGGUGGCAGGUCUCCUGGCUCCAUGCUGCAGCUGCCCCUGUUCUGGUUCAGACCUGGCAG
rnacentral:sRNA from 1 species